UACAGAGGUCUCAAGCGUUGUUCGGAUUCAUUGGGCGUAAAGGGUGCGCAGGCGGACUUGUUAGUCAGAGGUGAAAUCUCACUGCUCAACAGUGAAACUGCCUUUGAUACUGCAGGUCUUUGAAUCCAGAAGAGAGUUGUGGAAUUCCGAGUGUAGCAGUGAAAUGUGUAGAUAUUCGGAAGAACACCAGCGGCGAAGGCAGCAACUUGGUCUGGUAUUGACGCUCAGGCACGAAAGCAUGGGGAUCAA
rnacentral:rRNA from 1 species